rnacentral:rRNA from 1 species
UGGGGAAUUUUGGACAAUGGGCGCAAGCCUGAUCCAGCAAUGCCGCGUGUGUGAAGAAGGCCUUCGGGUUGUAAAGCACUUUUGUCCGGAAAGAAAUCCGUCUGGCUAAUACCCGGACGGGAUGACGGUACCGGAAGAAUAAGCACCGGCUAACUACGUGCCAGCAGCCGCGGUAAUACGUAGGGUGCGAGCGUUAAUCGGAUUUACUGGGCGUAAAGCGUGCGCAGGCGGUUUUGUAAGACAGAUGUGAAAUCCCCGGGCUUAACCGGGGAACUGCGUUUGNGACUGCAAGGCUGGAGUACGGCAGAGGGGGGUGGAAUUCCACGUGUAGCAGUGAAAUGCGUAGAGAUGUGGAGGAACACCGAUGGCGAAGGCAGCCCCCUGGGCCUGUACUGACGCUCAUGCACGAAAGCGUGGGGAGCAAACA